GGAGAGAUGGAUGAGCGGUUUAAGUCGCACGCCUGGAAAGCGUGUAUAGGUUAAUACCUAUCGGGGUUCGAAUCCCCCUCUCUCCGCCA
rnacentral:tRNA from 1 species